GACGAACGCUGGCGGCGUGCUUAACACAUGCAAGUCGAACGGAAAGGCCCUGCUUUUGUGGGGUGCUCGAGUGGCGAACGGGUGAGUAACACGUGAGUAACCUGCCCUUGACUUUGGGAUAACUUCAGGAAACUGGGGCUAAUACCGGAUAGGAGCUCCUGCUGCAUGGUGGGGGUUGGAAAGUUUCGGCGGUUGGGGAUGGACUCGCGGCUUAUCAGCUUGUUGGUGGGGUAGUGGCUUACCAAGGCUUUGACGGGUAGCCGGCCUGAGAGGGUGACCGGCAAAAUGGGAAUGGGGAGAGGGCCCAAACCCCUAGGGGAGGGAGAGGGGGGGAAAUUGGAAAAAGGGGGGGAAGCAGGAGGCAGAAACGCCGGGGGGGGGAGGAGGGCCUUGGGGUUGAAAACCUGUUGGGCGGGGAAGGAAGGGGGGGUGAGGGAAAGGGGUAAAGAAACACGGGCAAAUUAGGG
rnacentral:rRNA from 1 species